CCUUGCUUUCUUUUCUAUUUCGCUCAAGCUGAUUCCAUGUUCUUUCAUUUCAUCUUCGACUGUUCUUCUCCAAGUUGUGUUUAGAGUCCUUUCUUUCUUUUCCCCUCAUGUGUCCAUCUUAAGGCGACCCUGGUUAAGUCCUCUUAUGGUCUUCUUAGAACAUGGCCAAUGAUCCAUCUCCAUCUUUUUCGCUUUGAACAGUAGAGGUUCCAUGUUGUUUCAUG
rnacentral:lncRNA from 1 species